CUAAGUUUGAUGGCGACCGGCGCACGGGUGAGUAACACGUAUCCAACCUGCCGAUGACUCGGGGAUAGCCUUUCGAAAGAAAGAUUAAUACCCGAUGGCAUAGUUCUUCCGCAUGGUAGAACUAUUAAAGAAUUUCGGUUAUCGAUGGGGAUGCGUUCCAUUAGGCAGUUGGUGGGGUAAUGGCCCACCAAACCUUCGAUGGAUAGGGGUUCUGAGAGGAAGGUCCCCCACAUUGGAACUGAGACACGGUCCAAACUCCUACGGGAGGCAGCAUG
rnacentral:rRNA from 1 species